UUUUUUUUUUUUUUUUUUUUUUGCUUUUUAGGGCUGCAUCCACAGCCUAUGGAAGUUCCCAGGCUAGGGGUUGAAUCAGAGCUGUAGCCGCAGGCCUAUGCCACAGCCACAGCAACACAGGGUCUGAGCCGCAUCUUUGACCUAUCCCACAGCUCUUGGCAACUCAAGAUCUUUAACCCACUGAGCAAGGCCAGGGAUCGAACCCAUACCCUCAUGGCCGCUAGUGGGGUACAUUACCGCUGAGCCACUAUGGGAACUCCAGGAUCACUUUUUGACCUACCUGUCUUCUAUAUUCUUGAGACAUGUUUCUCUUUGCUUCUAUGCUGAAAACUCCAUCUUGUCCUGCUUUACUUUACCCCAUAUUCCUGCUUGAAAAACAGUUGCAGUGCUGGUAAAUGACUUAAGCUUAAGAACAAAGACCUAAAGGCAUAAGUUAUUCAUAGGGUCAGCUGAAUGAGGACAUAAUGUGUUGGUCUAGGCACGAGGGACCUGUGCAGAUUGGCAUGCCAUUUGCACAAGCAUGAUAUGUCUUCUAAAAAAUAAGAGGAAGAUGAGCCUCAUGGCCCCAAGGGGUUUAUGAGGUUAGCAGGAUAUGCAUUAGCAAGGAGAACUGAGGAGCAAACCUAGGUAAUUGGGGUUGCUGCAGAUAGGCAUGCCCUCUGCAGAAGCACAAUGGUGAUUCUCUAGAAUGCUAUGCAUACAUAGCUGAGCUUCCUCAAUGCUAACGAUUGUUAAAGGUCAGGAAAAAAAGCUUAAUCAGCAACCAGCUAUGUGACUUUUAAAAUAACUUAAAAAAACCUAUAUCCUGCACCUACAACUCCCUCCUCACUUGAAGUCAUCCUCAAGAGCACAAUCAAAGCAGUGUGGUUUCUUGAGGCUGUGCUCUUGGUCCCUGAGACCUUGAGUCCCCCGGUUCCCACCUUUACUUAAGAUAAAUGUCUCUGUAUCUUGUUUUAUGUUAACUUUCUUCCUUAAGUUAAACAGCACCCGUUCUUCAGCCCCAACCUGCUGAGCUGGUUUCGGCACUAUAUGACAAAAUUAUUUUCAGUAAUCAUAAUGAAUAAAGAUAAUGGCCAGAAAAAUGCAGACACUGAAAGUUCUCUUUCACUCAACUCCAUAUGAAUAAUCAUGAAGUGAUAUUAGAGUAAGAAAAAUGAGAAUACAUGAAUUCAUGUAUUGGAUUAUAUUAAUUUUCUAAAAAAGGAACUAAUGUACCUACAUAUUGGUUUGUUACAGUGAUAGAUAAUCAUAUUUGCUUCUUUGAGCCUUAACUUCUAAGAAUGUCAGGAACUUUGCUGAAAGUGAUCUUCACAUAUAUAUGUUCUAUAAAGAAUACAGCCAGAUUUGUCAAUCUAUCCCUGCAUAGUUGAUGGAAAAACAUCUUUUAUUAAUUUCAAUUUAGAAAUGUUCUUUCAAACAAAGCCAAAGACAUACAAAUAUCUUGGGAAAGUAGUAGACAUAAAAGAUAAAUUUGUCAGAGAUUCUUGGAGUUCCCAUCGUGGCUCAGCGGAAACGAAUCUGACUACCAUCUACGAGGACGCAGGUUCAAUCCCUGGCCUCACUCAGUGGGUUAAGUAUCCGGCGUUGCUGUGAGCUGUGUGUAGGUUGCAGAUGAGGCUCAGUUCUGGCAUUGCUGUGGCUGUGGUGUAGGCCAGCAGGUGUAGCUCUGAUUUGACCCCUAGCCUGUGAACUUCCAUAUGCUACAGCCCU
rnacentral:lncRNA from 1 species